rnacentral:tRNA from 1 species
GUUUUUGUAGCUUAAAUUACUAAAGCAUGGCACUGAAGAUGCUAGUAUAGUCAAUGGACUCAAAAACA